rnacentral:rRNA from 1 species
GUGCCAGCAGCCGCGGUAAGACGUAGGAUGCAAGCGUUGUCCGGAUUUAUUGGGCGUAAAGAGUUCGUAGGUGGUUUGUUAAGUCUGGUGUUAAAGACUGGGGCUCAACCCUGGGAGUGCACUGGAUACUGGCAGACUUGAGUGUGGUAGAGGCAAGUGGAAUUCCCAGUGUAGCGGUGAAAUGCGUAGAUAUUGGGAAGAACACCGGUGGCGCAAGCGACUUGCUGGGCCAUCACUGACACUGAGGAACGAAAGCUAGGGUAGCGAAUGGGAUUAGAUACCCCCGUAGUCC